UGCUAUGAUGAUUGUUGCUUCUUCUGACACCUCUUGUAUGAGAAUAACCUUACUGAGUUGUUCCUUGAGCACAUAUAAGCGACUCUCUGAGCC